GGGCCUGUAGCUCAAUUGGUAGUAGCGCAGCUAUGGCAUAGCUGAGGUUGUCGGUUCGAGCCCGAUCAGGUCCA
rnacentral:tRNA from 1 species